ACGAAGGGUGCAAGCGUUAAUCGGAAUUACUGGGCGUAAAGGGUGCGUAGGCGGUUCGUUAAGUCUGUCGUGAAAUCCCCGGGCUCAACCUGGGAAUGGCGAUGGAUACUGGCGAGCUAGAGUGUGUCAGAGGAUGGUGGAAUUCCCGGUGUAGCGGUGAAAUGCGUAGAGAUCGGGAGGAACACCGGUGGCGAAGGCGGCCUGCUGGGUUCUGGCUGACACUGAGGCGCGACAGCGUGGGGAGCAAACAGGA
rnacentral:rRNA from 1 species